rnacentral:lncRNA from 1 species
AUGAGAGAGUCCUUGCAGGGUGUCAGAAAAGUUAGUGCAUGUUUAAGCUAGAAAGAGCAGAGCUGAUUCACUGUUUCAUCAUCAUGUGUUUCCUCUCUUGAAUGCUCUCUUCCACUUCAGAGAAAGCCAUGGCUUUACAGUGACCUGGAGGAGAAAGUACCCAGGACCUCAGGAGAGCAGCAGCGCCGGAUCACGGGGAGGAAGGACAUGUUUCCUAAGGGCACAGAUGGCUGUACCAGUUGCUUGGUCAGUUCUCAGUAGCGAGGGUCAACAGACUACGGCGCCACCUAUGAAAAGCUGAACGACAAAGUGGGUUUGAAGACUGUUCUCAGUUACCUCUAUGUCAAUCCCACCAACAAAAGGAAGAUCAUGCUUCUCAGUGAUCCGGAGAUGGAGAGCAGCAUAUUGAUCAGCUCUGAUGAAGGGGCAACCUAUCAAAAGUAUCGGCUUACCUUCUACAUCCAGAGCCUGCUCUUUCAUCCCAAGCAAGAGGACUGGGUGCUGGCCUACAGUUUGGAUCAAAAGCUCUAUAGCUCCAUGGACUUCGGAAGACGGUGGCAAGUCGUGCACGAACGGAUCACACCUCACAGGUUUUACUGGUAAGCACACUCCGUACCCUCUGCGAUAAGGAACCGCGAGCCAGCACAGCACCCUGUACAGUGCUGAGCAACCUCAGCACUUGCAGACCAGUGUGUUCUCGCCCUUCGCCACACAAAAAAUAGUUCAUGGAGCAGCAGCACCACCACCUGCUGCUAGGAAUUGUUAGCAAUGCGGAAUCCCAGUCUCCUCAAUAUUUAU